GACGAACGCUGGCGGCGUGCUUAACACAUGCAAGUCGAACGGUGAACGAGGGAGCUUGCUCCCUCCGGAUCAGUGGCGAACGGGUGAGUAACACGUGAGCAAUCUGCCCCGAACUCUGGGAUAAGCGUUGGAAACGACGUCUAAUACCGGAUACGACGCGGGAGGGCAUCCUCUCCGCGUGGAAAGAACUUCGGUUCGGGAUGAGCUCGCGGCCUAUCAGCUUGUUGGUGAGGUAACGGCUGACCAAGGCGACGACGGGUAGCCGGCCUGAGAGGGUGACCGGCCACACUGGGACUGAGACACGGCCCAGACUCCUACGGGAGGCAGCAGUGGGGAAUAUUGCACAAUGGGCGCAAGCCUGAUGCAGCAACGCCGCGUGAGGGACGACGGCCUUCGGGUUGUAAACCUCUUUUAGCAGGGAAGAAGCGAAAGUGACGGUACCUGCAGAAAAAGCACCGGCUAACUACGUG
rnacentral:rRNA from 1 species